CCUACGGGGGGCUGCAGUGGGGAAUAUUGCACAAUGGGCGCAAGCCUGAUGCAGCCAUGCCGCGUGUGUGAAGAAGGCCUUCGGGUUGUAAAGCACUUUCAGCGGGGAGGAAGGCGGUGAGGUUAAUAACCUCAUCGAUUGACGUUACCCGCGGAAGAAGCACCGGCUAACUCCGUGCCAGCAGCCGCGGUAAUACGGAGGGUGCAAGCGUUAAUCGGAAUUACUGGGCGUAAAGCGCACGCAGGCGGUCUGUCAAGUCGGAUGUGAAAUCCCCGGGCUCAACCUGGGAACUGCAUUCGAAACUGGCAGGCUAGAGUCUUGUAGAGGGGGGUAGAAUUCCAGGUGUAGCGGUGAAAUGCGUAGAGAUCUGGAGGAAUACCGGUGGCGAAGGCGGCCCCCUGGACAAAGACUGACGCUCAGGUGCGAAAGCGUGGGGAGCAAACAGGAUUAGAUACCCGGGUAGUC
rnacentral:rRNA from 1 species